UACGUAGGGUGCGAGCGUUGUCCGGAAUUACUGGGCGUAAAGAGCUCGUAGGUGGUUUGUCGCGUUGUUCGUGAAAACCGGGGGCUUAACCCUCGGCGUGCGGGCGAUACGGGCAGACUUGAGUACUGCAGGGGAGACUGGAAUUCCUGGUGUAGCGGUGGGAUGCGCAGAUAUCAGGAGGAACACCGGUGGCGAAGGCGGGUCUCUGGGCAGUAACUGACGCUGAGGAGCGAAAGCGUGGGGAGCGAACAGG
rnacentral:rRNA from 1 species